rnacentral:rRNA from 1 species
GACAGAGGCCUCAAGCGUUUAGGCGGAAUCACUGGGCUUAAAGCGUGUGUAGGCGGAUCGUUAAGUGUCUUGUGAAAUCCCACGGCUCACCCGUUGGAACUGCUGGGCAUACUGGCGAUCUUGGGCCAACUAGGGGGCAGCCGGAACAAGCGGUGGAGCGGUGAAAUGCGUAGAUAUCGCUUGGAACGCCGAAGGUGAAAAACAGGCUGCUGGGGGUUGUGCCGACGCUGAGACACGAAA